UUGGAGGGCAAGUCUGGUGCCAGCAGCCGCGGUAAUUCCAGCUCCAAUAGCGUAUAUUAAAGUUGUUGCAGUUAAAAAGCUCGUAGUUGAACUUCGGGAUCAAUGGAUUGGUCAUGCCGUUGGUAUGUACUGGUCAUAUUGGUUCUCACCUUCUAAGGAACCAUAAUGUCAUUCAUUUGAUGUUUUGGGGAAUUAGGACUGUUACCUUGAAAAAAUUAGAGUGUUUAAAGCAGGCUAACGCUUGAAUACAUUAGCAUGGAAUAAUGAAAUAGGACAUCGCAUUCUAUUUUGUUGGUUUCUAGGAUCGAUGUAAUGAUUAAUAGGGAUAGUUGGGGGCAUUAGUAUUCAAUUGUCAGAGGUGAAAUUCUUGGAUUUAUUGAAGACUAACUACUGCGAAAGCAUUUGCCAAGGAUGUUUUCAUUAAUCAAGAACGAAAGUUAGGGGAUCGAAGACGAUCAGAUACUGUCGUAGUCUUAACCAUAAACUAUGCCAACUAGGGAUCGGAUGAUGUUAAUUUUUUAAUGACUCAUUCGGCGCCUUACGGGAAAC
rnacentral:rRNA from 1 species